ensembl:snRNA U6 U6 spliceosomal RNA
GUGUUGACUUCAGCAGCACAUUUCCUAAAAUUGGAAUGAUACAGAGAAGAUUAGCAUGGCCCCACACAAGGAUGACAUGCAAAUUCGUGAAAGAUUUCAUAUUUUU